CCUACGGGAGGCUGCAGUGAGGAAUAUUGGUCAAUGGGCGAGAGCCUGAACCAGCCAAGUCGCGUGAGGGAAGACGGUUCUAUGGAUUGUAAACCUCUUUUGCCGGGGAGCAAAAAGCGGUACGUGUACCGCAUCGAGAGUACCCGGAGAAAAAGCAUCGGCUAACUCCGUGCCAGCAGCCGCGGUAAUACGGAGGAUGCGAGCGUUAUCCGGAUUUAUUGGGUUUAAAGGGUGCGAGGGCGGCGUGUUAAGUCAGCGGUAAAAUUUCGGGGUCAAACCCCGAAAAGCCGUUGAAACUGGGUUGCGUGAGUGGGCGAGAAGUAUGCGGAAUGCGUGGUGUAGCGGUGAAAUGCAUAGAUAUCACGCAGAACUCCGAUUGCGAAGGCAGCAUACCGGGGCCCAACUGACGCUCAGGCACGAAAGCGUGGGUAUCGAACAGGAUUAGAUACCCGGGUAGUC
rnacentral:rRNA from 1 species